CCUAAUACAUGCAAGUCGAAUGGGGAGCUUGCUUCCCGAUGGCGAACGGGUGAGUAAUACGUAGGUAACCUACCUUUAGGACGAGGAUAACCUUUGGAAACGAAGGAUAAUACUGGAUAGUAUAGAUUUCCGCAUGGAGAUAUAUUUAAAGAUUUAUCACCUAGAGAGGGGCCUGCGGUGCAUUAGCUAGUUGGCGGGAUAAAGCCCACCAAGGCGAUGAUGCAUAGCCGGACUGAGAGGUUGUACGGCCACAAUGGAACUGAGAACGGUCCAUACUCCUACGGGAGGCAGCAGUAGGGAAUUUUCGGCAAUGGGCGGAAGCCUGACCGAGCCAAUGCCGCGUGAAUGAUGAAGUAUUUCGGUAUGUAAAGUUCUUUUAUCUAGGAAGAAAAAACAAAUUGACGGUACUAGAUGAAUAAGCUCCGGCUAACUACGUGCCAGCCGCUGC
rnacentral:rRNA from 1 species